rnacentral:rRNA from 1 species
AAACCCCGAAAUUUAGUCAUUCUUUUAUGGUAAAAAGACAGUUAAGUAAAUGUAUAAAAGUCGUUAGAUCUUUAGUAUAGGAGUAAAAUCCAUGUACUAAAAGUUAUACCGAAUAUGAUUUAGUUAAGAUGCUGAAGCUGUGAUAGCUUUAAGGGAAACUGGGAUUGGAUACCCCAUUAUUUUUAGCUGUAAAUUUAGUUUAAGCUUACCAGAGUACUACGAAUAAAAAGUUUAAAACUCAAAGAGCUUGGCGGUGUUUUAGACCUCUCAGGGGAACCUGUCUCAUAAUCGACAAUCCACGUUAAACCUAACCUUUGAUAGUAAUUCAGCCUGUAUACCGUCGUCGUCAGGUAACUUCUCAAAAUAUAGUAGUUAGCUUGAGAAUUAUAUUAAUUAAAACGUCAGAUUAAGGUGCAGCUAAUGAAAAGGUGAGGAUGGGUUACAAUUACAUAUUUGUAAACACGGAAAACAUUUGAAAAAAUGUCUUAAAGGAGGACUUGAAAGUAAUUUUGAUUAUAUAAGCAGAAUGAAUAGGGCUCUGAAACGUG